rnacentral:rRNA from 1 species
AUUGAACGCUGGCGGCAGGCCUAACACAUGCAAGUCGAGCGGAUGAAGGGAGCUUGCUCCUGGAUUCAGCGGCGGACGGGUGAGUAAUGCCUAGGAAUCUGCCUGGUAGUGGGGGAUAACGUCCGGAAACGGGCGCUAAUACCGCAUACGUCCUGAGGGAGAAAGUGGGGGAUCUUCGGACCUCACGCUAUCAGAUGAGCCUAGGUCGGAUUAGCUAGUUGGUGGGGUAAAGGCCUACCAAAGCGACGAUCCGUAACUGGUCUGAGAGGAUGAUCAGUCACACUGGAACUGAGACACGGUCCAGACUCCUACGGGAGGCAGCAGUGGGGAAUAUUGGACGAUGGGCGAAAGCCUGAUCCAGCCAUGCCGCGUGUGUGAAGAAGGUCUUCGGAUUGUAAAGCACUUUAAGUUGGGAGGAAGGGCAGUAAGUUAAUACCUUGCUGUUUUGACGUUACCAACAGAAUAAGCACCGGCUAACUUCGUG